rnacentral:rRNA from 1 species
CGACAGGGCGCGGAACCCGAAAACCUGUCUCAGUUCGGAUUGGAGUCUGCAACCCGACUCCAUGAAGCUGGAUUCGCUAGUAAUCGCGCAUCAGCCACGGCGCGGUGAAUACGUUCCCGGGCCUUGUACACACCGCCCGUCAAGCCAUGGAAGCCGGGAGUGCCCGAAGUGCGUGACCGCAAGGAGCGUCCUAAGGCAAUACCGGUGACUGGGGCUAAGUCGUAACAAGGUACC